rnacentral:rRNA from 1 species
UACGUAGGGGGCAAGCGUUAUCCGGAUUUACUGGGUGUAAAGGGAGCGUAGACGGCGAAGAAAGUCUGAAGUGAAAGGCCGGGGCCCAACCCCGGGAGUGCUUUGGAAACUGUGCGGCUAGAGUGUCGGAGAGGCAAGUGGAAUUCCCAGUGUAGCGGUGAAAUGCGUAGAUAUUGGGAGGAACACCAGUGGCGAAGGCGUCUUGCUGGACGAUGACUGACGUUGAGGCUCGAAAGCGUGGGGAGCAAACAGG